GGAUGUGAGGGCGAUCUGGCUGCGACAUCUGUCACCCCAUUGAUCGCCAGGGUUGAUUCGGCUGAUCUGGCUGGCUAGGCGGGUGUCCCCCUCCUCCCUCACUGCGUCCCUCCAGAAGCUGCGCGCUCGGUCGUUGAGGACGACCUUCCCCCCCAGGAGAGGACCGGUCUUCGGUCAAGGGUAGCUGCGCUCCCCUGCUAGAACCUCCAAACAAGCUCUCAAGGUCCAUUAAAUGCGGAAUGUCUGCUUAGUGAGCCCAUGUCAAUAAAUUCAGCCUGACCCAACUUUA
rnacentral:snRNA from 1 species